rnacentral:rRNA from 1 species
CUUUGAUUAUGGCUCAGGAUGAACGCUAGCUACAGGCUUAACACAUGCAAGUCGAGGGGCAGCAUGAACUUAGCUUGCUAAGUUUGAUGGCGACCGGCGCACGGGUGAGUAACACGUAUCCAACCUGCCGAUGACUCGGGGAUAGCCUUUCGAAAGAAAGAUUAAUACCCGAUGGCAUAGUUCUUCCGCAUGGUAGAACUAUUAAAGAAUUUCGGUCAUCGAUGGGGAUGCGUUCCAUUAGGUUGUUGGCGGGGUAACGGCCCACCAAGCCUUCGAUGGAUAGGGGUUCUGAGAGGAAGGUCCCCCACAUUGGAACUGAGACACGGUCCAAACUCCUACGGGAGGCAGCAGUGAGGAAUAUUGGUCAAUGGACGAGAGUCUGAACCAGCCAAGUAGCGUGAAGGAUGACUGCCCUAUGGGUUGUAAACUUCUUUUAUACGGGAAUAAAGUGAGGCACGUGUGCCUUUUUGUAUGUACCGUAUGAAUAAGGAUCGGCUAACUCCGUGCCAGCAGCCGCGGUAAUACGGAGGAUCCGAGCGUUAUCCGGAUUUAUUGGGUUUAAAGGGAGCGUAGGCGGACGCUUAAGUCAGUUGUGAAAGUUUGCGGCUCAACCGUAAAAUUGCAGUUGAUACUGGGUGUCUUGAGUACAGUAGAGGCAGGCGGAAUUCGUGGUGUAGCGGUGAAAUGCUUAGAUAUCACGAAGAACUCCGAUUGCGAAGGCAGCCUGCUGGACUGUAACUGACGCUGAUGCUCGAAAGUGUGGGUAUCAAACAGGAUUAGAUACCCUGGUAGUCCACACAGUAAACGAUGAAUACUCGCUGUUCGCGAUAUACAGUAAGCGGCCAAGCGAAAGCGUUAAGUAUUCCACCUGGGGAGUACGCCGGCAACG